AGCGGAUGAAGGGAGCUUGCUCCCUGAUUUAGCGGCGGACGGGUGAGUAAUGCCUAGGAAUCUGCCUGGUAGUGGGGGAUAACGUUCCGAAAGGAACGCUAAUACCGCAUACGUCCUACGGGAGAAAGCAGGGGACCUUCGGGCCUUGCGCUAUCAGAUGAGCCUAGGUCGGAUUAGCUAGUUGGUGAGGUAAUGGCUCACCAAGGCGACGAUUCGUAACUGGUCUGAGAGGAUGAUCAGUCACACUGGAACUGAGACACGGUCCAGACUCC
rnacentral:rRNA from 1 species